rnacentral:rRNA from 1 species
UACGGAGGAUGCAAGUGUUAUCCGGAAUCACUGGGCGUAAAGCGUCUGUAGGUGGUUUGCUAAGUCUGCUGUUAAAGCUUGAAGCUCAACUUCAAAAAUGCAGCAGAAACUAGUAGACUUGGAGUAUGGUGAGGGUAGAGGGAAUUUCCAGUGAAGUGGUGAAAUGCGUAGAUAUUGGAAAGACCACCAAUGGCGAAGGCACUCUACUGGGCCAUAACUGACACUGAGAGACGAAAGCUAGGGGAGCAAAUGGG